ACCGAUAUCGGAGAAAGAAAUGUUGGUUAUGGACAGGUUCGCAGAGGGUACAUUAGCGUCAAGCAAUUUUCGAUUACCUAACGAACUCGAGUUUACCGAACCAAAUUAAUAAGUUAAUAGUAAUAUUCUUAAAGAUAGGUAUUUUUGCGCAAAAUUAAAGAGUAUAAAAGAAAUCUAAACGGCUAUAUACCUGAUAAUUUCAUAAGAGAAUUUAUUUUUUUUAAAUUUUUUUUGGCUAAUAUCGUUUAUAUUUAUCAAUACUUUUAGAAUUCACAGACAACUGCUUCCUAAAUUAAUUGCUUUAUUUUAUCAGCGAUUUAAAUGCACCUAUCGUAUUUUACGCGAUUUUGGGACACAUAUUCUACAGGGUCUGUUGCAAUUAUCCAUAUAAAAAUUUGUCUAUGUAACUAGUCUUAGUUUCUUCUUUCUUUUUGAUGUGUAACAAAACCAAUUAUUUGCUAAACAGUCAUUUUAUAAAGAGUUCGUUCAAGUACCAGCAAGUUAG